rnacentral:misc_RNA from 1 species
AAGUCGUAACAAGGUUUCCGUAGGUGAACCUGCGGAAGGAUCAUUAACACCAAAAAUUUGUAUCCAAAAUCUUUUGGAUCACAAACCAACCCCUGUACGAACCGUUUUUUAGUACUCUCCCUCUCUCCUUCCAAGGGGAGUGGUUGCGUAUGUGUUGACUCACAUCGCAGCCUAUUUUUUUCUCAUAAACGAUUCUGACUCUAACUGACUGAAAUCGUGGGCUUGAAGGUGUCACAACCCUCAACCUACAAAAAUCACUAAACGUGAAACAACUCUUAACAACGGAUAUCUUGGCUCUC